GCUUCUCGCGCGUCCCUAGUGGUAGGAGGAUUAGGUCCCAGGCAUCACCCUAGGGGAUUUUCCCCUUUCUCAGACUUCUGGCGCUGGGGUCACCAUACCCAACGAGGUGGAGCUGAGGCCAGAGAAGCGAAAGCGACGAGCUGGGAAAAUGACCACCCCCCCUCACCCCGGCCCACGCCUUUGGUUCUAGAAUCCCUAAUAUCCUGGCAACGGGGCUGCAGAACGUCCGCAGACACCAAGGGGGAUGGAAUCCACACCUACCAGGAAUGAGGAGAAAAAGGGCAGCAGGAUGUCCCAAGCUGCAACUCCCUUGGAUGGAGGUCCGGUGAACAUGGGGAAGGUUUCAUUAUCCCGAUCUGAAGAAUUCCUGACCCGGAUCAGCGCAGAACUCACCGAUGAGGCCUUGUUUAUUGCUGGCUGCCACAUGAACUCUGUGCCCAUCAAGGAAAAACAGACACAAGACCAAGGGACUCAGAUAUCCAAACAUGGUGACCCCCCUCACUUCAGGACCAUUGUGUCCAGAGACCCUACUGUACCCUUAGUUCCAGUCCUUAACAGCUCCCAACCACAGCUGAUCUUUCUAGCAAUCUGUGCCCAUCUGUCCCAUCUCACAGCUAGUCCUUUUUUUUUAAAGAUUUUAUUUAUUUAUUUAUUUAUUUAUUUAUUUAUUUAUUUAUUUAUUUAUUCGUGAGAGACACACAGAGAGAGAGAGGGGCAGAGACACGGGCAGAGGGAGAAGCAGGCUCCAUGCAGGGAGCCCAAUGCAGGACUCAAUCCCAGGACUCCAGGAUCACGCCCCGGGCUGAAGGCAGGGGCUCAACCGCUGAGCCACCCAGUUGUCCCUCACAGCUAGUCCUGGAAUAGCACGGUGCUCCCUGCCCUCCCAACUCACCCAGUACCCACCCCUCACUGCUGGCCAGGAACACCUCAGUACCUCCCUCCCUAGCCACAUCUCUUUCUGGCUCUGGGGGUAAUAAUUUCUCUGACUGGGGCCUCUACUUCCAGUGUUCUUCAAGACCCGAGGCACCGAUACCCGGUGAGUGAAGCUUCAAGGGAGAUGCCCUUUGUCCUGGGAGAAGGAUGAGGAGCCUGGAGGGGAGAGAGCGAGGGUUUGACAACAUCCUAGCAGGUUCUGACAGAAACCGUACCUGCACCAAGACACACCUCCUGCCAUCCUCUCGUGACAAGGGAGCUCUGCUUAGCACCUUGGCAUCCAGAGGAUGACUCUAACCCUCUUUGAUGCUGCUCUUGGCCUUUCAUAUCCUCCUCAUUGUGUCCUUCUAGAACAUACAUCAGAGCUCCUCGUUCACAAGUCAUUAACACUUCAGUUUGCUGGAGAUGCCUGGACAUGAGCAGCAUCACACCCAAAGCCUCCCAGGUGUUCUGGAACCAUCUCACACCUCUCCACCCUCAGCUGGCAAGGACAUCACCAGAAAUCCAAGGCUUUAAUAAAAAGACAGGUCUUUCCCUCCUCCUAAACCAGGCCAUGCUCUGGAGUGGCUUCUCUGGGGUGGUGAUGUGAGAGGGUCGCCCUUUUUCUUUUCCUUCUUUCUUCUCCUCCUCCUCCUUUGCCACCUCCUCCUUUUCUUUCUUACCAGAUGUGUGGGCAUAUGGGUGGAAUGGCAUAUUCCAUAUUAUUGGAAUGGCUUUAAUUUGGGCAGUUAACCUGUUUUCUGGCAUCUGAGAGGGUCCACCUUUGCUUCUGGGAAGCCACCUCUGCCAUCAAUGUCAGUGCUGAGGCCUCUCCUCAGAGCUCUGGGGCAUCACACCCCAGGGAACAUACCACGCCCAUUGCUAGCCAGAAGGCAGCACAGCCAGCUUUGUGGGUUUGCAUUUAAAUCAGAAUCUGGCCACUGACUCCAGCCUCCUGAGGAAGUCCUUUCACAUCUCUGUGCCUCAGUCUUCUUAUCUGAGUAAUGGGAAUAAUUGUCCCUGUCUCAAGGGGUCCUUGUAGGGGUUCAAAACACAAUGCAUACAGAAUG